GGAGGGUGCCGCUGAAUGGUCGGCGACCGGUCUUGAAAACCGGGGACGGUGCACACCGUGGGGUUCGAUUCCUCCACCCUCCGCCA
rnacentral:sRNA from 1 species